GACGAACACUGGCGGCGUGCCUAAUACAUGCAAGUCGAGCGGACGAAUCGAAAGCUUGCUUUUGAUUCGUUAGCGGCGGACGGGUGAGUAACACGUGGGCAACCUGCCCUGUAGACGGGGAUAACACCGAGAAAUCGGUGCUAAUACCGGAUAACACGAAAUGUCGCAUGACGUUUCGUUGAAAGACGGCGCAAGCUGUCGCUACAGGAUGGGCCCGCGGCGCAUUAGCUAGUUGGUGAGGUAACGGCUCACCAAGGCGACGAUGCGUAGCCGACCUGAGAGGGUGAUCGGCCACACUGGGACUGAGACACGGCCCAGACUCCUACAGGAGGCAGCAGUAGGGAAUCUUCCGCAAUGGACGAAAGUCUGACGGAGCAACGCCGCGUGAGCGAAGAAGGCCUUCGGGUCGUAAAGCUCUGUUGUUAGGGAAGAACAAGUAACGCAGUAACUGGCGUUACCGUGACGGUACCUAACGAGAAAGCCACGGCUAACUACGUG
rnacentral:rRNA from 1 species